UUAAUUAAAACCAAAAUAGAGGUCUACUACUGUUAAUAGUACAAUUGUUAUUAAAUAAAUAACUAAUUAAA
rnacentral:tRNA from 1 species